UCUUGUCUUGCCACUAUUCUUUGUCCCUGUUUGUUUGCGCACAAGAAGCUUUAAGAUGAAUCUGUUCCAACUAGGCCGACUCGCAGUAAUGCUUCAGAAAAAAGUUCUCAGUUGAACACGAAAAACCUUGACUAAAGCAUGGCUAAGGGAGCUGAAAAAAAAAUGUGUUUAGUUGAAUACGACAUGAAUGAACUACUUCCCUUGCGAUGCCACACCGCUCCGACCCGGCCGACCACCCAGUGGCGCAUAUCCCUUGCGAUGCCACACCGGUCCGGCCCGACCGACCAUCCAGCGGCGUACGUGCAUCGAUUUGGCCAAAAGCGUGGCAGUUUCGGGCGAGUUGGGUUUUGUUGUGCGUACAGAGUUCGGUGGGACUUCCAUGGCGCGGGCUCCUUCUUCAUGACACUUCGCCCCUCAAGAAAGCCCAGUGUCCGGGCGGGGAACGCAUGCGCUUAUUUCGUUAACCUGUGGGUAACCAGUGCCUGCGUUGGUUUCAACCCACGACCUAUACCGCUGCCGAGGUGCACUCUCUAUUACGCUGCCAUGGUUGCCGUGGUUAUUGGGCUCCAUGAA